GACAGAGGGGCAAGCGUUGCUCGGAAUCACUGGGCGUAAAGGGCGCGUAGGCGGGAUGGCAAGUCGGUCGUGAAAUCUCUCGGCUCAACCGAGAAACGUCGGCCGAUACUGCCGUUCUUGAGGGAUGCAGAGGAGACUGGAAUUCCCGGUGUAGCGGUGAAAUGUGUAGAGAUCGGGAGGAACACCGGUGGCGAAGGCGGGUCUCUGGGCAUUCCUGACGCUGAGGCGCGAAAGCGUGGGAGCAAACGGG
rnacentral:rRNA from 1 species